rnacentral:lncRNA from 1 species
UCCUUUUUCCUGCUUUUGUACAGUCUUCCCAUAUUCAAUAACAAUUUUCUGUCCUAUUAGCUCACUUGCAACUCCCUCGUCUAGAGAGAUAGCUCCACAGUUAAACUCUCAUCUUUUAAAACCAUCAUGUACUAAGAUCUUUUGCCCUCCUUUGUUCUUUUGGUGUUUAAAAGCUCCUGUUGUGUUAUUGGAUGUAGCCUGUUACUCUUUGUAGAUGAUGAAGGUGUAGAAACGUACUGCAUAUAAAAUGAAAACACUCAAUGAGGCCAAAGUUAAUGUGUUUCAGAAGAUCUGAAAGGAUUUAGGAGGACAAGAUUUAUUAAAAGUCAGAAGUUCAUAGUGCUGGGCUACCCACAUAGAUACCUUGUGUUAUUACAGCUUCACUUUUUGGUAGAGUAAGUUCUCAGCUACAAAACAUUUAUUUUAUUUACAAAAUAUUUUUCAACAUUACUACCACCAUUAGCUAUGCAUUUUUACCAGCCAACAUGAAAUAGGAGACGUUACUUUCUGAACAGCUUUCAUAGCAUUUUUCACCCUUCUGUAACAAGAAUUCAAAGAGAAACAUCAACUUUAUUUCACGUACACAUUAACCUUACACAGGGAGUAAUGGAAAACCAUGAAAAUCUUACUUUUGUCCUAACAUUUCCAGAAUUCUGUCUCAUUGAAACAUAGCUCAUACUUUUCUGAAAGCAAGACAACCUUUGUAGACAACAAAACAAGACUUCAGUUAAAAGCAAUUGAGACCUGUAUAUAACCAUGCCUAAGCUGCUGAAGUUUCCGCUGUAUUUUCUGCCAAAGUUCAUCUUCUGCCAUUCAGAGUAAUUCUUAUAGCACCUGCAAAAAAAAAUACUACAAGGACUGUUGCAGUCCCUUUACAGAAGUGAGCAAAACUCCUUUUAAGGACUAUGGGUCUUUUUCUACGUAUCUCUUUAUGUCCUCUUCAUCUACCUUCAUAUCUAUACCAAAUCAUAAGGUGUAUUAAAAAUAUAAUUUGGUAGGAAGUUUUUUUUACAUUGUUGAGAGCUGCAACAAGGUUAACAGGGAUGUUCUCAGGCCUAGGAUGAUCAAACACAAAACACAACUUUAACUAUCAAGAUUGAGCUGUGAAAUUAAUCUAAGUUCACUAUAUCACCAGCAGAUUUACAAACCAAGAAGUUAUAGCUUUCUUUCUUUCUUCCUCAUCUCCCUUUCAGAAUUACCAGUUAUCUCCAAAGAGAACACAGCUGAAUAAUGUGCUUCAGUUGGCCAACUCUAUUGCUUGCUGUUUAAAGCUCCUCUAGAACACAGAGAAGAGAUUGGCAUUCUACAUCUUGUAUGAGCUUCAAAAUCAUUCGCAGUCUUUCUUUUUCUGGUCUCUGCUUCAAAACUUCUUUUUCCUUCUUCUCACUCUUCCAUCUCUUUUCCAUCUUUGUGGUCAGCUUUAUUCCAAUGCUUUAAGUAGUUAAAGGUUUUUAAAGUGGACUUGGAAACUCCAAAUCUUGGUUACACUUGAAUAAGCAGAACCAGGGUCCAGUGUUUCCUGAUUACCUUAUAUGGCAGCACUGGAAAGCAGUCUCUCAGCUGUGCUGAAAAAAUGUAUCUAAGUUCAUUAUUACUCUAUUUUAAAUGUACAGUUUCUUCUAAUGAGUUGCUGAUAAAAUAGUUGAUGGACAAUUUAAUUGUAUAUAUUUCAGCAAAGCAUAAUACAACAAUCUGCCAUAAGAAAUAAAAUGUAACUUUUCCUCUGUUGGUUGCUUGUAUUUAUCAUACUUAGUAGGUGAAAUGUUCUAAAUCUUCUAAAUUACAAAUUAUCCAUAGUGCCAUCUUGGAUGAAAAAAGGAAAGCAGAGACUUCUUGUUCUAGUAAAUAACCAAAAAAGUAAAAUGUUUAUGACUUCUCCUUAGCAGUCUGGAAAGAGGAAGAAGGAGAGAGAGAAACACUAGUUUGUUUACUCAGGCUGCUAGAUGUCAUGACCCUGCUGUGUGCAGACUGUCCCUUCUUUCAGUUAGAAUGACUGGCAGUUGUGAACACAUGUCAUUCCAUGUCAGAAACCAUACAUGGGCACCCUGGCUAGAACUGCUUGCUGACACACAGAAAUUAUCCAAGGAUACAAUUUUAUUUAUCAUAGUAUGUGUUUCAUGGUAAAAAUGUG